rnacentral:rRNA from 1 species
CCUACGGGAGGCUGCAGUGAGGAAUAUUGGUCAAUGGACGAGAGUCUGAACCAGCCAAGUAGCGUGAAGGAUGACUGCCCUAUGGGUUGUAAACUUCUUUUAUAUGGGAAUAAAAUGUUCCACGUGUGGGAUUUUGUAUGUACCAUAUGAAUAAGGAUCGGCUAACUCCGUGCCAGCAGCCGCGGUAAUACGGAGGAUCCGAGCGUUAUCCGGAUUUAUUGGGUUUAAAGGGAGCGUAGGUGGAUUGUUAAGUCAGUUGUGAAAGUUUGCGGCUCAACCGUAAAAUUGCAGUUGAAACUGGCAGUCGUGAGUACAGUAGAGGUGGGCGGAAUUCGUGGUGUAGCGGUGAAAUGCUUAGAUAUCACGAAGAACUCCGAUUGCGAAGGCAGCUCACUGGACUGCAACUGACACUGAGGUUCGAAAGUGUGGGUAUCAAACAGGAUUAGAUACCCUGGUAGUC